ACAAAAGUUGUUUUACAAGCGAAGUUUACACCAGAGUGCGACUACACUCAACAAUGUAACACAUUUAUAGAACGUUUUUCCGUGGAGACAUAGUGGAUUGUUUCUAAAAAAUAUAAUAACUUGCAAAGAUUAGAUUAUCGCAAAGAUUUUGUAUGCCACCAUAAUAAAAAAAAAGAAAAAAUGACACUACACGAGUCCGAAAUAAAAAUUGUCCUGCAAAACUAAGUAUAAGGGUGAAGAAAAUUAACCGAUAUAGUAAAUAUAGGGAUCCAUUGUUAAAAGAAGGUUGGAACGCUGUUAUUGAAAUGUAUCUAAAUCACAGUCACCGUGUUGAUGUAGCAGAGGCUUAUAGUUAUUUAAGAAUAAAUAAAAAAACCAAGGAAACUUUUCACAAGUACUUUGAAGAUGGAUUGUCUCCUUCGGAAGCUAAAUCAUUACACAGAUCUUCGUUAUUAGCAAGUACACCCGUAGAAAAUAUAUUAAAAAUAUUGGCAGAUGCACAUAGUAAUCCCACUGAUCGUACUAUUUACCACCUGUUCGAUAAAUGGAGGAAUGAAAACUAUGGCAAUCGAGAACUUAACAGCAUUGUUGAGAGACUUUUGGAUAUGAAACAUAUUUUUGAAUAAAGUACGAAGUUAACGAAGAUCCGUUUUGUUGUGUUCUUACUCCUAUCAUGCAAAGAGCACACUGUCUGAAAAUGUCUGGAGAAAUAGUAUUCGUUGAUUCAAGCGGUUCAUGUGAUCAAGGUGGAUCCUCAGUUAGAUUUCUUUUCGGAGCAAGUAAAAUAGGGGGUCUGCCCCUUGGAUGCAUAAUACACAAUUUCCAAACACGAGAGGUAUAUGCAUUGGGUUUUACGAUGUUAAAAAAAAUACUUGGAAACGAAGGACUCUUUCGGAGAGGAUUUCCUAUGGUUUUCAUGACCGAUGAUAGCUCUGCAAAAAUAAAUGCUUUUCAAGAAGUUUUUUCUAUUUCAAAACAUCUUUUAUGUAUAUACUCCAGGCAAUGUGGCGUUGGCUGUGGGAGACACCUCAUCAAAUCAAAUCAAAAAACAAGAUAGAAGAACUUUAAUGAUGUUGUUUCGCAAUGUGCUUUUCGCAACAAAACACAAUUGAUUGUGAACUAAAUAAAAAUAUUAUGUGUGAGCAUGAAAUUUUAAAAAAAUAUAACAAUUUUCAUGCCUAUUUUGAAAAUAUGUGGGACCGAAAGUUAAAAUAGGCACACUGUUUUAGGAAAGAUUUUAUCACAAGAAGUCACAAUAUACGAACAUACUAAAAGAUUUUGUUUACAGAGGUGCAAAUCAUUCAAUGCGGUAUCUCUUGCCGGAUUUAUUAAACAUUCCUUGGAGGAAUUUUAUAAGCAGAAAUGUAUCUUGUAUGCAAAUGGACGUAGGACAAAAUUGGACCUUUAUUACAAAAAAUUUUGUUAUAAAGUCACUCUCCUUAAAGUGACAAAGGAAACAGAUACAGUUUUUAGGGUGUCUUCGUCUGAAGAUGACACUAUGUUAUACACUGUUGACACUUCAAUAGAACAGUGUGACUGUCCAAACGGAGCUGGCGGCAAAUUUUGUAAGCAUCUUUGCGCUGUUAACUUAUUAACAACACCAGAUUUACAAUUUCAGGAUCGUGUAGACUUUCCAAAACUGGCAAUUGGUAAUAAUGUAGAUGAGAGUUUCUUUCAUUCUAUAAAUCUAAAUAAGGAACAACAAUCGAACCCAGUCUCAUUUUUCGACCCAAUUUCAGUUGAAGACAAGUACCUAAGGAAUACAGAAGGACAUGCCGAUAAUGACAAUAUUCCCAACAGCAAAGGUUUGGAAAAUUUUGAAAUGGAAUAUAUGAAAGAACUGAAUAUGCUUGAAAAUAAUUUGAAAAACAUUCAAAACUUUGCCGCAUCUCAUCCGUCUAAAUAUAUGCUCAAAUCCCUUAAAGAAUUAAAUACCAAAAUAGGCAUUAUCCAAGAUGAAGAUUCGUUUUAUAGCAUCUGCUCAGCUGUAGCAAAUAUAAAACGAGAAAGACGUAUAGAAGUUCAACCCAUCUCAGUGUCUCGUCGUAAAAAAAAGAGUUGCAUGCAGGAACAAGAGCGAUUACAGCUGAAAGACCUUCAAAGGUUGAAUCAUCAAAGAA
rnacentral:lncRNA from 1 species